rnacentral:lncRNA from 1 species
GUGGAGGAGGAGAAGUUGGUGGUGUGGUAGUUGGGGGUGAUGGUGGUGAUGAACUAGGAGGUGUGGUAGGUGGUGGUGAUGGGCUAGAAGCUGGGGUUGGUGGUGAUGGGCUAGAAGCUGGGGUAGGGCUAGAAGCUGGGGUAGGAGUGGAAGGUUGAGGAGCAGGAGAAGACUGAGGAGUUGGAGUGGAAGGUUGAGGAGCUGGUGUAGAAGGUUGAGGAGCUGGAGUAGAGGGUUGAGGAGUAGGAGAAGAUGUUUGAGGAGCUGGAGAAGGAGAAGGAGAAGAAGAUGCAGCACUAACAUUGAUCAUCAACUUUUGACCACCAGAGCAAUGGCCAGUAAAAUUGCAAAGGAAAUAGUGCUCUCCUGAAGCAUUAAU